rnacentral:rRNA from 1 species
GAUGAACGCUAGCGGCAGGCUUAAUACAUGCAAGUCGAGGGGCAGCAUGAUUGUAGCAAUACAAUUGAUGGCGACCGGCAAACGGGUGCGGAACACGUACACAACCUCCCAAUAAGUGGGGAAUAGCCCAGAGAAAUUUGGAUUAAUACCCCGUAACAUAACGAUGUGGCAUCACAUUGUUAUCAUAGAUUUUUCGCUUAUUGAUGGGUGUGCGGCUGAUUAGAUAGUUGGCGGGGUAACGGCCCACCAAGUCUACGAUCAGUAGCUGAUGUGAGAGCAUGAUCAGCCACACGGGCACUGAGACACGGGCCCGACUCCUACGGGAGGCAGCAGUAAGGAAUAUUGGACAAUGGACGCAAGUCUGAUCCAGCCAUGCCGCGUGAAGGAUUAAGGUCCUCUGGAUUGUAAACUUCUUUUAUAAGGGACGAAAAAAGGCUUUUCUAAGUCGUCUGACGGUACCUUAUGAAUAAGCACCGGCUAACUCCGUGCCAGCAGCCGCCGUAAAAC